rnacentral:tRNA from 1 species
AGUGCAGUUGGUAUCAGCACUUGGUUUUUUGGUGCCUUUGGUUUGGGACCAGAAGGUCGCAGGUUCAAGUCCUGUC